CAAUAAUAUAUAUUAUACUUAUUAGUAGAUUAAAAAAAUUCGAGAACAUGUUCGGAAUAAUUGGAGCAUUUUGACAGACAAGCAAGAAAUUGCGAUAAUAUGUAAACAAGGACAUAUUGGAAAAUUAUUUUCAAUAUUCUUAAUAGUAUCGAUCUAUGCUGUACUUCUUUUUGGCAGUGUUUUUGCACAAUGUAUUUCAAUCCUAUUUGAUAUUGUAAUACCUUUAAAUGAAUCUCGUCCGCGCAAACUUCUUUUCCCAGCUGAAUAUUUUAUCGAUCAGCAGCAAUACUUUUAUGUCAUAACAAUACAUAUAGCUGUGUCAAUAUUUUUCAUGACUACGAGUGUUAUGGCUGCAGAAUUGUUCGCAUUCUCGAAUGCAUUACACGCUUUCGGGUUAUUUAAAAUUGCUAGGUGAAUACUUUGACUUCAUACACUAAUUCUCUUCUUAAAAAUAAUUUUGCUGUUUUAAUUUUUCUCACACUUCUUUACAUUUAAUAAUCACAUUUAAUUAUAAUAUUUUUUAAUAUACUUUUCUAUUUUUCUCUUUACUAUAUUAAGCAGCAUAUUUUUUACAGUUAUGCAUAUAAUAUUCCUUUAGAAAACAUUUUAUUUGUUGUACUUGUUAACUUAGAUUAUCUAUUUACCUUUUCGUGUAUUUAGAUUUGAAUUUUUUAAUUCUUAUUUUGCGCAUUACUAUUAUUUAUAUAUAUUUAUAUUUAAUCAAUAUUUAAUAUAUUAUUAAUAAUUAUAUGUAACUUUAUUACAAUAAAUUUAUGUUAUAUUACAUAAUAUGAAUUAAUUCAACAUUUGAAUCCUUUUAUAUAGCUAUCGUAUGAAAAAUAUAUUAAAUGGAAUUAAUCAAACAGAGAUGUGUCUAAAUAAAAAAUAUAUCAUAUUUUAUAACAGAAUAAUCGCUGCAGUAGACUUUCAUAGAAGAGCGAUUGAGUUAGUAUCUUAUUUAAGUUAUGUAUAUAUGUAUAUAUACAAUAAAUUCUUAUUUUAACCAAAUACACUCGAUUUCACACACACACACACACAAUACACACAGAGAAGGCGGGAGGAUUCACUUUAACCCUUCGAGGUCACACUUCUUUUUUCUAACGCCGAGGUCACACUGGGUGGUUGCCACCCAUCGUCAUUUUUAAAAUGCUAUAUUUAUGAAAUUAUCAAAGAUAUGGUAACAAAAAAAUUUAUGGAUAAACUUGAAUGUUUGGAAAAUGUAUCCUGAUAUUAUUUAAGCAAAAAUCUAAAACCAUUAGUACCUAAAAAAAUUUUUGAAUCUUCCAACAUUAGAAAAAAAAGUUUUUACAAAAUAAAUCAUAACUUUUUUAAUUUUCAAUAUUUUUAGCUAAAAAUUUAGACUUUUAUUGUUCAAGUCUUGUACUUCAAGGAAAAAAAAUGUCUUUGACUAUUUUUUCAAAAAGAGUAUUUAUUUUGCAUACUGAACAUGGAAUAUUUUAGUAUACUGAAAAACAGGUAUUUUCACAGAACAGUCAUGUUACGAUAGUAUUUACUUGAACGUCACUUUUUUGUAUGCCACGCAAAACCAUUUUUUCCUCGCAAAAUAGAUUGCGGUCUAUCGCGUGCACGCAAUGUUAGAAUGCGUUAAUCUAACGUUACAUUUUCAAGAUCACUGUCCACUUCGUCCACAGAUUGCUCUGAAUCGCUUGAAUAUGAUUCUUUGAAUAUGAUUUUCCUCGACAUCCGAAUUAAUAUCGUUGAAAUCAUUACGUCCAUUAUUUUGUAAAAUAUCUUAUAUGAUCGCUGCCGUAAAUUAUAGACCAUUAUGCUACAUAUUUUCGAAGAAUGAAUUAACAUAAAGAUUUUAAAAAAAUUCUAGGCAUAAGAAUCUGUAUUAUAUCAUACUUUUACACUUUUUAGACCACAAAAAACACAAAAAUUUGAACCACUACAAAACACAAAAAACUUACACGGAAGUCACACAUGGAGUGGCUACCACCCUACCUUGUCUUUGGACGACUGCCAAAAACAAACCAAUGCUACUUUCAGUUACAGUAUAGUACAAGAGCAUAAAUAAUGAAUUACCUUGAAUUACCAUUAAAUGGCGUUACUAGCAUCAUUUUUUCUUAAAUCGGAAAGAUAUAAUGUGUUGAAUUUAAACGAUGGGUGGUAACCACCCAUCAGUGUGAUCUCGAAGGAUUAAUUUAAUUGACGCAUUUGAGUUACUCCAAAAAUAUACAAGAUAUCGAAGUUCCGUUUUUUUACAAAGUAUAAUAUCAAAAAGGACAAAAUAAUACAUUUAUUUGAGGAUUGUAUGAAAAUCACCAUCGAUUUCUGGUUGAAUCAAAUUUCUAAUUAAUUCAACGAGAUACUUAUUAUUUAAAUUAAAUUAUUGAGAAAAGUGAUUGUUAACUUUUUAAUUUUGCACAUAUUAAUUAAUAUGAUAUUCCUUUUAAAUUGCACUUUAAAUAUAAUCUUGCAUGUGUGAGAAAAUUAACUUGUUUUAAUAUAAAUAUUGUGAAUAAUGUAUUAAAAAUUAUGAUUUUUAAAGGAUCUCUUAAAAAGAUUUUAAAAUGACAGAAUUACUGACAUUGCAAGUUUAAAUUUUCUUUGAGAAUAUACUUUAUAAAAUUGAAAACCAAAUUGAAAAUUUUACUCAUUUAAAAUACACUCAAAAAUGAAUCUCAGAAUACUCAAUUUAAGCUUAAGAAUAAAAAUAUAAUUAUAAAAACCUAUUGACGUCUGGUAUGUAAUUUUUAAUUCUUUUUAUUCUUAAAUUCUUAAUUGUCCUUGGACUUAUUUUUGUAUACUUUAAAUAUGUAAAAGGGUUUAAUUCUGUAAAGUUAUAACUAAAAGAAAAUUUAAUGCCAGUAAUUUCCAUUUUUAGGAUGUCUUUAACAGAACAAUAAUUCAAAAUGUUUUAUUCUAUAAGAUUAUCUGAUUUAUUGAAAGCAAGUUUUGGACCAUCAUAUUUAAUUUUAUUAUUAAUGGGUGUGUGUUCAGCAACUAUCAAUUUAAUAAACGUGAGUAGCACAGUAUUUGAAGAAUAUUUUAUUUAAUAUUCUAAUUUUUUACAAAUUUCUCGAAAAAAAACAUAUAAUCAAAAACAUAAAUUUUUUAAUGUAAUUGAUACAUUUAUUUGUAGCUAUAUCGAAUAAUAAAUAAGGAAAAAGAAAUUUUGGAAAUUAUAAGAGCUAUCGUGUUUAUAAUCCUACAUCUUGUGUAUUUCAGUGUAGGUAAUUAUGCCGGGCAAGAGUUUAUAAAUUGUGAUACACAUGUUUAUCGUAUGAUGUAAGUUACACGAUUGCUAUUAUAUUAUAUUUUUUUAUAGUAAUAAUUUUACAUUGUUUUUUAAAUCGUGCAUUUAUAUCAUGCAUUAUUAUUGUAAUUAUACGAUAUUUAAUAUCUUAUCUUUGUAAAUAGAUGCAAUAUGAAAUGGUAUAAUGCCCCAUUGAAAAUACAAAAAUUGAUACUCUUUUUAAUACAAAAGACUACAAGAUGUUACAGGGUUAGUGCUGGUGGUAUGUUUAAUCCCUGUUUGGAAGGGUUCGCCACAGUAAGAAAUCUUACUAAAUUAAUGUGUGUGUGUGUGUGUGUGUGUGUGUGUGUGUGUGUGUGUGUGUGUGUGUGUGUGUGUGUGUGUGUGUGUGUGUAACGGUAAUAUUUACUAUUUCUCGUAAAUAAUUAAAGUGAGUUAAAAAAUUGACUAAAAAAGUUCUUUAUUGUUUCGCGAGUUUCUCAAUAGUGAAUGAGGAAUUUAUUAGUAAAAAUCCGCGAAUCAACAUACGUUUGCAUGAUUCGACCGUUCAAUAUUUUUGGUCACGAGCAUUGAAAACAAAGCAUUGAAAAAAAUUUAAUUAAUAUUAAUAGUUAUGCACAAACGCACAUUAUUGUUAGUUGAUCUCUUGUCAUGGAAUCGCAUAGAUGCAUUGAUUUACAGAGCUUUGUAAAUUAAUCCCUCAUUAACUAUUGAAAAAAAA